UGGUGGCGAUUGCGAGAAGGUCACACCCGUUCCCAUACCGAACACGGAAGUUAAGCUUCUCAGCGCCGAUGGUAGUUGGAGGAUUCCUCCUGUGAGAGUAGGACGUCGCCA
rnacentral:rRNA from 1 species